UCAGUAAGCGGAGGAAAACAAACUAAACAGGAUUCUCUUAGUAACUGCGAGUGAACAGAGAUUAGCCCAACAUCGAAGCUCGCAAGCAUUUUGUUUGUUGAGCAAUGUGAUGUUAAGAUGUUUGCUCUCGUAAACUGGCCAACUUGAAGUCCAAAUUUGAAUGUGGCAUAUAUGUAUAAACCCAUAGAUGGUGAAAGGCCCGUUCAAGUUGGUAAUCAGACAUGACAGUUUGCGUGUAUGCAUUUAUCUUGGAGUCGGAUUGCUUGAGAAUGCAGUCCAAAGUUGGUGGUAAACUCCAUCUAAGGCUAAAUACCUGUACGAGUCCGAUAGUUAACAAGUACCGUGAGGGAAAGUUGAAAAGUACUCG
rnacentral:rRNA from 1 species